rnacentral:lncRNA from 1 species
GCACCUUUGCGGUCUGCACCUUUUAAGGUUUUAAGUAACAAGUUUUAAGGUUUUAAGUAACUAGUUAGCAACCUACUUGUUUAUGAAAUAAUGGCCAUAUUACAUUGAAAAUAAACAUUAAACUAUGGUAAUAUAUAUAUAUUUUUAAGGAAAAUAUUUGUGUGUUUCUGUGGGAUCUCUGGUGCUGCACCAUCUUGCCAGUCAUUCUCAGAGCCCUCCGUUUGGAGUGUUCCUAUGUAGCCCCAAGAGUUCCCCUAACCUACCCCUCCAGCCUAACAAUAAUCAGGACACCCUACCCCCUAGACCUGAACGCGCUAAAAAGAGAGUGUUAGGGCUCAGUGGUGAAAUGGGAUUGGGCCUAAAUUAGGAAUGAAUACAAAUAAAACCGGAACGGAUUCCAAAUUCCAAAUAAUCUCUCAAGCGAGAGUCUAAAUGAAGAUGUGGUCAAGAGAGAGUCAAGAUUAAGUCCCAAUUAAUGCAAAAAUGAGUGCAAAUAAGUUUGAAACCUUUUUAAAACUGAAUCUUAUUUAGUCUCAGCUUCUUGUAUGCAUGUCCUGGUCUCUACCUCAGUGUUGAUGUUCGUGGUGUUCAGUGCUUACUCUGACUCUGAGUGAAGAUCUCCUGUUGUGAGCCCAGCAGACCGAAGGAAUAUUACAACAUCAGAAAAAAAGAGAACAGAAAGUGGCCUGUGUGUGCUACAGUGGUUGCAUAAUCAUGUUUAUGAACAGACUGCAGUCUGUUCUAACUCACCAUUUUCAUAAUCUUCUGAGAGACCUGGAGUGGAUCAGCAGUCGGACGACAUGGUGUCCUCUGGAACUCUGAUGGGACUCUUCCUGAUCACCCUGAUCUACCCUGAUGUCGAAGCUCGCAUCAGGAACCUCCCGAAAAUCAUCAGUUUUCUCCAGAGCAACUAUUCGGAUGGUGAUGAGCUGGCUGUGGUCAUCAACGUUCCAGCAGCAAAGUGUAAAACACGAAUGAAACCCGAUCAGGACUUCCUCCAGGAUGAUCCUGCCUGGAGAGUGAAGCAUGCCGUGAACAGCACUUCCAGAGUCUACAGAGGACAGCAGCUGAUCGCUGCCAGACCAAAACCAAUCAACAAAGCAAGUAGCUAUCACCCCGAGUACCUCCUGCUCAUCCAGUCCACCCCCUCAAACAAGACCUCCUUCAAUACACCACUGAAGAAGCUUCUGAAUAAAGACAAGCAUGGCUGUGUUGUCUUCUACACCUUCAACUCCCCCUGUGUGAACACCUGCUCAACCCCCGGAGGUCCUUACAACCUUCUCCCUGCCCUGGACCUGCUCAAGGAGCACAAGGGUCCCAAAGCCUUUGUGUUUAGCAGGGUUAAAAAACGUGAGGUCGGUUCAACUUCGAAGAAAAAUAAGCCACUCUGGCACUGCUACAGAAUCGGUAAACAUAUGUACGCCACCAUGACGGUCUGGGACAAUUACGAGAGUCAGGUUCGCUGGGAAGAAAACGUGAGGGAGAUAAAUGCUCGAGUGCCGCUCCACCGAUGUGAGGACGGCAAGUGUGUCCACUGUGUUCAAGACCACGAGGCUGAUGGCAGGUGCAUUCACAAUACUGGCAUAUAAUACCAUGUAAUACUAUAUAACACUAUAUAUUAUUCAAAAGCUUUAGGCACAUUAUUCAAAUCCUUUGAUUUUAGCAAUAAGAAAGUUUUAGUGCCCACUUCUUGGUUUAUCUGUAGGCUUGAUUUAGGGCAUGUCAGUGUGCCUUUGCUAUCGUAAUGACGGGAAAAGUACACCUUGUGCCACUCAAAAUGCACAGAAGGCACGCACUAAUGCUCUUAAUUAAUCAUUGGUGUGUUUUGGGCACAAUGGCAUCAGCAUGUCCCUUGCCAUUCCCUUUAAGUGUCAGGUGCGCUCUGACUUUGGUGUAAUGCUAUUUUAAUGGCGUAGCUACCUGGAUGUGUCCAGCACUUCGCAGCAGAUAAAACUGACCUGCUUGUUUAUGUUGUAAAGGUGCUCCAGCAGCUCAUUUAUGGGAACAGCAAUGCUAUUUCAUUUAAUUUUCUGUUUUUUUGUUGAUGUAAAAGUUGGGUUUGUGCUGCUGUGUGUUAAUGGGUAUGUAAUAAUAAAAAGUGGGGAUCAUCUGUGUUUUCCUCCA